CCCCGCCCCCCGCUGCCCCCGUGCACACACACGGAGCCCUUCCCGACUCCAGAGAUUCCUGGAAAUCACGUGGUCCUCGUUACCCGUGCGAUACAUAACAAAGUUCGCAGGGGCGAGCCCGUCUGCAAUGAUGUCCCUGUCUCGGGAUCAGCUCUUCCGAUGACAAAGCAGCAGCGAGAGGACGGACGUCUGCGGACAACUCGGCGAGCCGCAGGCGAGAGUGAGCUGGUGGGCUACGCAGCCAUUCGUGAACGGGCUGAAGAUGAAACCUGGGAACGAACCCAAGCCCUCAACGCUGACGGCUCAACGCUCUGACCUCCAUCUGAGCCACGUGGCCGCCUCCAAUGAUGAGGGCUUCUCCAUGUGAAUGGUGGCCCCUCUGUAAGCGCGGCAAUCCGUGAUCGCGGGCAGGGAGGAGUGUGGCACGCCAAGCGUGUGGGGAGCAUGGGCAGGGCUCGCCAGGGUCCACGGAGCGACGCGGGGGUCCCCACCUGAGUGGUGGCGCCUGCACGCGAACCCCUCCCCCUGUGAACCACAAAGCAGAUUCAGAUUCACCACACAUCGUGUGUAUUAGAAUGCGCAGACGUACCCAGUACAUCACACAUAGACUGUAUAUUUGAUUGUGGGCAGGUCACGUCAAGAGAUACGGUAAUGGCCGAUGGACGAGACUGGUGAUGGAAUGACAGCUAAAGGACAGACCGCAUCUAAGAGGGAGAUGGAGCGAUGAAAUAAAUUCAUGCGUAAGGGUCAAGUGGAUGAAAGCAGCACUGGGCCUUGACGGAUGGUGACGGCGAGGGGAGGCGUUCAUCCAGCGGUUGAUAAAUAACGGAAGAAGAUGAUGACGAUGAAUUCCAUAAUUAACAUUUAAAAAAGUUAAACCUUUUUUAUUUUAAACUAAAGUGGAGUAAUAUAAUUUAAAAAACAGGUCAUACAAUCAUGUUUAAACUAAGAUCGAUUUAGUUCCUUCAUCACUGCACCAUCAUGAGCAUCCCUACCAGAUUGGUAAAAUCAGAAACAGCUGCUUCAGCUGCCCUGCUGGAUGGGAAGCCACCCGUUCGUUCCAUUAAGGGAAUCCCUGCCAUAAGAAUGUGGAAUUGACCCCACUUGAUCAAGAGCAACAAGCGCGAUGAGCACUGCCCAAGUCGUGCGACCGCCAGCACCCCUGCACAUCCGAUUAGCACGGUUGGCUACGUACGGCGCGAAGGAAGUUCAACAUACACACAUCAUCCAACAACUAAAGUUAGUGAUUAAGGCCAGCAUUGAUAAUGAAUAAAGACAAUGAUAUGAUUAUUAUUGGGACAUCUCGUUUGCAAGGGUGUCCAGUGUAGUGGCUUCUGCCAGUGACAGACGGCAAUGGGGAAGUCUCCUCUCUCUAUUUAAAGCUUUCGUGACUGCAAUGAUUCA